GAUGAACGCUAGCGGCAGGCCUAACACAUGCAAGUCGAGGGGCAGCACAGAAACAGCAAUGUUUUGGUGGCGACCGGCGGACGGGUGCGUAACGCGUAUGCAACCUACCUUUAACAGGGGGAUAACGGAGAGAAAUUUCCACUAAUACCCCAUAACAUCGAUCAAGGCAUCUUGAUUGGUUGAAAACUCCGGUGGUUAAAGAUGGGCAUGCGUUGUAUUAGGUAGUUGGUGAGGUAAUGGCUCACCAAGCCUACGGUACAUAGGGGGACUAGGAGUUUAGACCCCCACACUGGUACUGAGACACGGACAAGACUCCUACGGGAGGCAGCAGUGAGGAAUAUUGGUCAAUGGGGGCAACCCUGAACCAGCCAUGCCGCGUGCAAGAAGACGGCUCUAUGAGUUGUAAACUGCUUUUAAACAGGGAUAAAGCACAGUAUGUAUACUGUGUUGAAGGUACUGUAAGAAUAAGGAUCGGCUAACUCCGUGCCAGCCGCCGCCGUAA
rnacentral:rRNA from 1 species